CGCAUGUUACCAUUAACUGGUGACAUGCUUACAGAUCCCUCUCGAACCCCAUCUCCCUCUCCAAGACUAACUCCCUUUCCCAAUUCCUCCCAAAGACCUUGUAUCCAGAUCCAUGGUGGAAUAGAUCGAGAAGAGGGACGCAACACUCGGCCACUCUCUCUUCACUCCUCAGAUCCCAGAUCCGGGUACCACCAAGUGACACCCUUGGGGUCUUAGAGUGGAGUAUCCGCUCAGUGAUGCUUCUGCCACCAAGUGACAUCUUCCGGGAGUACCAUGCUGAACAAAUGUUUCCUAGGGUGAAUGAGAAAGCAAGCGGCUGAGGGAUGCUAGAGUGUGUAAUGAAGAAGAGGAGAUGCCACUACAUCCAUCGCAUAUGUUUCCACUUGCCGAGACAAGGGAGAGAGACGAGUAAGGGGAGAUAAUAAGGUACGGGAGGGAUGCCACGUAGGGCCAAUAAAAAAUCUUGUAAUGGUGUUUUUUUAUUUUGGAUGUGGAGAGCUGAUGUGGCUGCCACAUCACUUAGCCAAAGUCCACCUCAGCUCAAAGCUACCCUUCUGUUGGGGCAAAGGGUACAAUGUUACGGUAUUGAGGGUUGGACUUGCAAAAUAAACAUCAUUGAAAUUGGGUUGCAAUUUGAACCCGCGGCAAUAAUUGAUGAACCAAACAUAUAACUUUUUUA